rnacentral:rRNA from 1 species
GACGAACGCUGGCGGCGUGCCUAACACAUGCAAGUCGAACGGAGAAUCAGUAAUGGUUCUUAGUGGCGAACGGGUGAGUAACGCGUAGACAACCUGCCUUUUAGAUGGGGACAACACUGCGAAAGUGGUGCUAAUACCGAAUGUUGUAACUUUGUUGCAUGACAGAGUUACUAAAGAUGGACUCUAUAUAUAAGCUAUCACUAAAAGAUGGGUCUGCGUCUGAUUAGCUAGUUGGUGAGGUAAUGGCUCACCAAGGCGACGAUCAGUAGCCGGUCUGAGAGGAUGAACGGCCACACUGGGACUGAGACACGGCCCAGACUCCUACGGGAGGCAGCAGUGGGGAAUCUUCCGCAAUGGACGAAAGUCUGACGGAGCAACGCCGCGUGAGUGAAGAAGGUUUUCGGAUCGUAAAGCUCUGUCUUUGGGGACGAACGUGCUUUUUGUGAAUAAUGAGAAGUAAUGACGGUACCUGAGGAGGAAGCCACGGCUAACUACGUGCCAGCCGCCGCAGUAA